AGCGAACGCUGGCGGCAGGCUUAACACAUGCAAGUCGAGCGGGCAUAGCAAUAUGUCAGCGGCAGACGGGUGAGUAACGCGUGGGAACGUACCUUUUGGUUCGGAACAACACAGGGAAACUUGUGCUAAUACCGGAUAAGCCCUUACGGGGAAAGAUUUAUCGCCGAAAGAUCGGCCCGCGUCUGAUUAGCUAGUUGGUGAGGUAAUGGCUCACCAAGGCGACGAUCAGUAGCUGGUCUGAGAGGAUGAUCAACCACAUUGGGACUGAUACACGGCCCAAACUCCUACGGGAGGCAGCAGUGGGGAAUAUUGGACAAUGGGCGCAAGCCUGAUCCAGCCAUGCCGCGUGAGUGAUGAAGGCCCUAGGGUUGUAAAGCUCUUUUGUGCGGGAAGAUAAUGACGGUACCGCAAGAAUAAGCCCCGGCUAACUUCGUGCCAGCCGCCGCAGUAA
rnacentral:rRNA from 1 species